GCGGGUGGCCCCGAGGUGCAUUGCGGUUGCAUUGCACGUGUGUGCGCCAGGUGCAGUGCUUCGGCAGUGCAGCCCGGGGCCAGCCCCUGGCGCCG
rnacentral:miRNA from 1 species